UCCCUGGUGGCCCAGUGGUUAAGAAUUUGCCUUCCAAUGCAAGGGACAUGGGUUCAAUCCCUGUUCAGGGAA
rnacentral:tRNA from 1 species